GGAUUUCCAAAGGAGUUUGUAGGUUAAACACUGUCACACCCAGGAAUUAUUAACUGGAGCUGUAAGCUAACUCUUGUCAGAGAGGUAGUGGGGGACAGCCCCCCGUAAAGUCAGAGGUGUAGGUGAAAGCACAAGCAGAAAGUAGGCAGACUCUGGUUUUGGGGGUAGAUGCUCGAGAAUUUCCAGGGAGACCCCUGAGGCUCGAUCCCGCCUUUGCGUAUGCCACGCCUCCUUCCUCAUGACCUUUGCCACGGGCGGAGCUCGCUCCCUGCAGGUAAAGAUGGUUAGAUAGCAUCAACCACUAUGAAUCUCAGUAAACUCCAAGAGAUAGUGAAGGACAGGGGAUCCUGGAGAUAGUGAAGAACUUGUGGUUGCAGAGUCAGACAUGAAUGAGUGACUAAACAACAUAUCUCUAAAAAUUUAUUGUGGCCAAUAGUAAGCUUGUAAAGUGUUUAGUCAAGUAUAAAUACUUAAUAGAGUGACAGUUAAUGAAGUUCACUGGCAUUACAGCAGGUGUAUUCUUUACUGCUGAACCAUCGGGAGUGCUGCUGCUGCUACUAAGUCACUUCAGUCAUGUCCAACUCUGUGCGACCCCAUAGACGGAAGCCCACCAGGCUCCCCCGUCCCUGGGAUUCUCCAGGCAAGAACACUGGAGUGGGUUGCCAUUUCCUUCUCCAGUGCAUGAAAGUGAAAAGUGAAAGUGAAGUCGCUCAGUCCUGUCUGACUUUUAGCGACCCCAUGGACUGCAGCCUACCAGGCUCCUCUGCCCAUGGGAUUUUCCAGGCAAGAGUACUGGAGUGGGGUGCCAUUGCCUUCUCCGGCCACCAGGAGUUACCUCUGGCCAAAUUCACUUAACAACUUCAUCUCUUUCCACUCCUCCUUGGCAUCCUAAUUUAUACCCUCAAUGAAAUAACAGGCCAUAAACCUUUGCAUCUGUGUUUUCCUAUAGAACUUUGUUUAUACUUUAACAUAAACGUUUCCUUUUUAUGUAUUCAUGUUCUUAGCCAGAUUAGGAACUUCAUGAUGACACAGACUAUGUCUUAAUUCAGGCAGUUAUAAAUGUGAACUAUACUUAUAUUGUUUUAAUUCCUGGGGGCCCUACAUAUAUUUAGUCUCUAAAAGUGGAACGUGUCAAGGCAAUAUAUAACAAAAGGAUUCCCUUGCCAAUGAGUUAGCUUUUAGUCUUUGAGAAAUAUGAUCAAAUUAAAAAGCCAUCAAGGACAUUAACUAAACUUGUGGUAAUCACCUCACAGUAUAUGCAUAUAUCAAAUCAUUGUGCUGCGCAUCUUAAACUUAUACAGUUUAAGUUUAAACUUAUAAGUCUUGGGGGAUAGAAAAAUCAGGAAAUUGCUAAAAAUACAUAAAAACCCAUCAAGUGAAUUAAAUAAAGUGUAUAUAUUUCAAUAUUUUUUUUGUCACACAUUUGCUAGGCAAACAAUUGCAUUUUAAAUAAGCAGCCAUCAAAAACACCAUCGCCUUUUGUAGCUACAUCAGUCUCUCCACUAGGUCUUUGACUAUGUGGAUCACCACAAACUGUGGAAGAUUCCUAAACAGAUGGGAAUACUAGACCUCCUCACCUGCCUCCUGAGAAACCUGUAUGCAGGUAAAGAAGCAGCAGUUAGAACCAUACAUGGAACAACAGACUGAUUCAAAAUUGGGAAAGGAGUACAUAAAGGCUAUAUAUUGUCACCC
ensembl:lncRNA